CCUACGGGAGGCAGCAGUGAGGAAUAUUGGUCAAUGGCCGUAAGGCUGAACCAGCCAAGUAGCGUGAGGGAAGACUGCCCUAUGGGUUGUAAACCUCUUUUAUGCGGGGAUAAAGGUGUCCACGUGUGGAUGUUUGCAGGUACCGCAUAGAUAAGGACUGGCUAAUUUCGUGCCAGCAGCCGCGGGAAUACGGAAGGUCCGGGGUUUAUCCGGGUUUAUUUGGGUUAAAGGGAGCGUUGGGCGGUCUUUCAGCGUGCCGUGAAAUUUUGUGGCUCAAACAUGAUAGUGCGGCGCAAACUGGAGACCUUGAGUGCGCGGAAGGCAGGCGGAAUUCGUGGUGUAGCGGUGAAAUGCUUAGAUAUCACGAAGAACCCCGAUUGCGAAGGCAGCCUGCCGCAGCGUUACUGACGCUGAAGCUCGAAAGCGCGGGUAUCGAACAGGAUUAGAUACCCCAGUAGUC
rnacentral:rRNA from 1 species